AACGCUAGCUACAGGCUUAACACAUGCAAGUCGAGGGCAGCGGGAUUGUAGCAAUACAAUUGCCGGCGACCGGCGCACGGGUGAGUAACACGUAUCCAACCUUCCGGUUACUCGGGGAUAGCCUUUCGAAAGGAAGAUUAAUACCCGAUGGUAUAAGAUUUCCGCAUGGUUUUCUUAUUAAAGAUUCAUCGGUAACCGAUGGGGAUGCGUUCCAUUAGAUAGUAGGCGGGGUAACGGCCCACCUAGCCUACGAUGGAUAGGGGUUCUGAGAGGAAGGUCCCCCACAUUGGAACUGAGACACGGUCCAAACUCCUACGGGAGGCAGCAGUGAGGAAUAUUGGUCAAUGGGCGAGAGCCUGAACCAGCCAAGUAGCGUGAAGGAUGAAGGUUCUAUGGAUUGUAAACUUCUUUUAUAAGGGAAUAACGGACACUACGUGUAGUGUUAUGCAUGUACCUUAUGAAUAAGCAUCGGCUAACUCCGUGCCAGCAGCCGCGGUAAUACGGAGGAUGCGAGCGUUAUCCGGAUUUAUUGGGUUUAAAGGGAGCGUAGGCGGGAGAUUAAGUCAGCUGUGAAAGUUCGGGGCUCAACCUUGGAAUUGCAGUUGAAACUGGUUUUCUUGAGUGCGGCAGAGGCAGGCGGAAUUCGUGGUGUAGCGGUGAAAUGCUUAGAUAUCACGAAGAACUCCGAUUG
rnacentral:rRNA from 1 species